ACUCAAAUGAAUUGACGGGGACUCGCACAAGUGGUGGAUUAUGUGGUUUAAUUCGAUGAUAAACGAAGAACCUUACCAAGGUUAGAAAUCCAGACGAAGAUAGGCAGAAACGUCUAUCGUCUUCGGACGGCUGGACAGGUGUUGCAUGGUUGUCGUCAGUUCGUGGUUUGAAUUGUUCCCUUAAGUGGGGUAACGAACGAAACCCUCGUCGUGUGUUAUAUAUGUCACGCGAGACUGCCCCCUCUGUGUUUAUGAAUCAGCCCUGGGCUGAUCGUAAAUAGAGAGGGGGGAGGAAGGAGAGGAUGACGCCAAAUCAGCAUGACCCUUGAUACCUUGGGCUACACACGUAAUACAAUGGCCGUUACAAUAAGUUGCAAUGCCGCGAGGCGGAGCUAAUCUAUAAAGGCGGCCCCAGUUCGGAUUGAAGUCUGCAACUCGACUUCAUGAAGUUGGAAUCACUAGUAAUCGCAGGUCAGCUAUACUGCGGUGAAUACGUUCUCGAGUCUUGUACACACCGCCCGU
rnacentral:rRNA from 1 species